rnacentral:rRNA from 1 species
AUUGAACGCUGGCGGCAGGCCUAACACAUGCAAGUCGAGCGGAUGAGUGGAGCUUGCUCCAUGAUUCAGCGGCGGACGGGUGAGUAAUGCCUAGGAAUCUGCCUGGUAGUGGGGGACAACGUUUCGAAAGGAACGCUAAUACCGCAUACGUCCUACGGGAGAAAGUGGGGGAUCUUCGGACCUGACGCUAUCAGAUGAGCCUAGGUCGGAUUAGAUAGUUGGUAAGGUAAAGGCUAACCAAGGCGACGAUCCGUAACUGGUCUGAGAGGAUGAUCAGUCACACUGGAACUGAGACACGGUCCAGACUCCUACGGGAGGCAGCAGUGGGGAAUAUUGGACAAUGGGCGAAAGCCUGAUCCAGCCAUGCCGCGUGUGUGAAGAAGGUCUUCGGAUUGUAAAGCACUUUAAGUUGGGAGGAAGGGCAGUAAGUUAAUACCUUGCUGUUUUGACGUUACCAACAGAAUAAGCACCGGCUAACUUCGUGCCAGCCGCCGCCGUAAAAC